GAUGAACGCUGGCGGCGUGCCUAAUACAUGCAAGUCGAGCGAACAGACGAGGAGCUUGCUCCUCUGACGUUAGCGGCGGACGGGUGAGAAACACGUGGAUAACCUACCUAUAAGACUGGGAUAACUUCGGGAAACCGGAGCUAAUACCGGAUAAUAUAUUGAACCGCAUGGUUCAAUAGUGAAAGACGGUUUUGCUAUCACUUAUAGAUGGAUCCGCGCCGCAUUAGCUAGUUGGUAAGGUAACGGCUUACCAAGGCAACGAUGCGUAGCCGACCUGAGAGGGUGAUCGGCCACACUGGAACGGGGACACGGUCCAGACGCCUACGGGAGGCAGCAGUAGGGAAUCUUCCGCAAUGGGCGAAAGCCUGACGGAGCAACGCCGCGUGAGUGAUGAAGGUCUUCGGAUCGUAAAACUCUGUUAUUAGGGAAGAACAAAUGUGUAAGUAACUAUGCACGUCUUGACGGUACCUAAUCAGAAAGCCACGGCUAACUACGUG
rnacentral:rRNA from 1 species